UGGAGGGGUGGAGUGAGAUGGGAAAAUAGAUUGAAAUUGAAAAAUUAAAAUAAAGACAAUUCAUAAUCUAAUAAUUUUGGAGCUUGCCAUAGUAGAUUUUAGUGUUCUGAUGUCAUUUGAGUCACAUUUUCAUUCCAUCUAUAUGGUUGUUCUAGACUAGGGGUGAAGCUGAGGAAGAUUGGUAUGGAAAAUAAACAAACAAAAAAAGAUCGACCCCAAAUCAUCUUUGUUCUGGGCUUCAUUCAGACAUGACAGCAUCUGACAACGGGAUGAGCAAAUCGAUUCCUCAUUGCUGAGAAAGUAAGCCUAAUUCUGACAAGGAUAAUGAGAGAACUCUUAACUGUCAAAAAGAUGGACUCCAGGAUUUAGUGGAAAGUUCAGUGGACUACAGGAAACCAACAAACUAUGCUGUAAAAAUACAGAAUCUGUGUGUGUAUCAACCUCCUCAUCUCCAAAUGACCUGCUUUGGGUCAAAUCACUUCUAAGUUUCCUUUUGCUUUUAAAAGUCUUUUAAAACUUAAAAAAAAAAAAAAGUCUUUAAAAAAAAAAAUUCAAAAAAUUAUGGGAAGCUUUGUCUUGUACUGGAGCUCUGACCAUAAAGCUGAGCUACUUGCCUACAGCUAAGCCUUUUCUACUAUGUCAUUACAACCACAUUAAGGUUUGUGCCCACUAGCAUUAGACAAAC
rnacentral:lncRNA from 1 species